rnacentral:rRNA from 1 species
GACGAACGGUCCAAACGUUAUUCGGAAUCACUGGGCUUACAGAGUUCGUAGGCGGUCUGGAAAGUUGGGUGUGAAAUCCCUCGGCUCAACCGAGGAACUGCGCUUGAAACUACCAGACUCGAGGGAGAUAGAGGAAAGCGGAACUGAUGGUGGAGCGGUGAAAUGCGUUGAUAUCAUCAGGAACACCGGUGGCGAAGGCGGCUUUCUGGGUCUUACCUGACGCUGAGGAACGAAAGCUAGGGGAGCGAACGGG